rfam:Lactobacillus fructivorans strain DmCS_002 contig10, whole genome shotgun sequence.
AGUCAAAAGCAGAAGCUUCCCGCUUCUCGCCUGAGUGAUUUUGAUCGCUGGGCAAUCUACGAAUGAAAGUCCUAAUAUUUUUAGGUGUAGCGGGUGCUUUGUGGCAUCCGCUAUUUUUCUGCUUA